UGCGCAGGCGGUUGUGCAAGACAGAUGUGAAAUCCCCGGGCUCAACCUGGGAACUGCAUUUGUGACUGCACAGCUUGAGUGCGGCAGAGGGGGAUGGAAUUCCGCGUGUAGCAGUGAAAUGCGUAGAUAUGCGGAGGAACACCGAUGGCGAAGGCAAUCCCCUGGGCCUGCACUGACGCUCAUGCACGAAAGCGUGGGAGCAAACAA
rnacentral:rRNA from 1 species